GCCCACAACCUCUCUGUUCUUCUGCUUUCCUCAAACCUGUGUCCGUAUGCUGCUCCCUCUUGUACCUUUUCGUUCCUCUGCUCUACUUCUUACUGUUAGGAGUAAUCUUGAGUCAUGUACGAGUUGCUAGAGAAGUGCUUGCUAUUUCAGCUAGGUUAAUUAACGCAAAAGUGAGUUACUAGAACUUUCUCACCCUAGUAUUGUUGGCCACUGUAAUUCCUGCUGCACUGUCUUCAGUUAGCUAAGUGUUUAUUAUUCAGUUUCGUCAGAAUAAGCAUGCACCGGGAGUCUGUUCUGGUGCAUGCAUGUAGUCUUUGUUUUUCUGCAUGCAGUAGCUAGUGCCGCAGUGUUCGCUCUUGUGGGAUGGCACGAGAUCAUGCCGGACAUGGCGGCGUUGAGGCAGCGUGCAAGUGGCUGUGGGAUGGCGCAGCCGUUAGCUCAAACGUGGCCGGUAGACUAGGAUGAUUCUGUUACUGUAACAGCAUAUAAAUAAAAGGAGAAGAAAACGCUGCAGUAAGCUGCACGCAGCACAAAUUACUGUCUUUUGUUCUUCAGUUACGAAGGAUGAGUUACAGAGAGCACCGGCUGCAACUACAAGUAUGUCUUGAGGUGUCUACGCAUGGAAGAGUACUAGAUGUAUCUGAGUAGGUUUAGGCUAAUUGUGUUCAGUGUGGCCGGUGAUUAAGUGUCCUGGUACUGGUAGUACUAGGACGGCCAUGUACGAGUUGGUUUCAAGAUCAAGAACAAGCAAGUCCUUGGUCGGUUGUCUCAUGCAUAUUUACACAUAUGCUGGUGCGUGACAUUGUACCACAGGAAGCUGACAAGAAAAAGUGAAAAAAAGAGGGACAAUACAAGCCCUUGGCUACAAGUUUUUUUUGUGUGUGAGUGUUCGUCGUCUCUGAUGUGAUUGAUCCAUGGGCAGAAUUCCAACACUUACAGAUAGUAACUGAAUGGUCCAGAUAAAGUUUAUUGUCGAGAGUUUUGCUGCAUGAUAGGUGUACUAAAUAUGUUUUGUUUUAGUCUCUCUUCCCCUCUUGUUGAAAGCAAAUCUCCACUCCAAAUAUAGCUUAAUCAAUCAAAUUCAUAUGUGCUGUUUAGAAUUUCUGCAGUGAAACAAGCCCUUUUGAUUCUAGCGUUGUUGCCUUAGAACAAAUAAUCAUUCUAGGGUUUGUUAUGAUAUUUUGUUUACAGUUCUGCAUAUAUAGGCAGCAAAUAUAAGUGACAUAACAUGGGCUUUUGUGGGUCUGCCGUUCUUGCUUGUUCAGAAAUGUGGCCAGAUGACAUUGUGACAAUUGAUUUUGAGUCUGCUAGCAUACAUAUUUUCCGAAAUGCAGUUCUUUAGUUAUACUUAAUGCCACAUUUUGUGCCCUGGUUGUGUUUGUGAGAUACUGAGAUGUCUUUCUGCUUUCAUUGCAUAUGUAAGAUGGUCGGGAGCUUGUAAAACUGCAUGUCAUAUCUGAUGGUUGGAUAUAUGAUUUUGUUGUUCGCCCCCUUCCCUGAAAGUACAUGGUGUAAUUAAGUUAUCUACGUUAAUAUGACAAGUUUCUGGAAUAAGCGUGAUGAAUAGAUGUAUCUUGCUAUUAUGAAAGUGAUUAUGUUUUUUAAUGAAGUGAUGCAGCUGCAGCGGCGUGUAACAUGUAUUCAUUGCAAUAUUGUCUUAUUUGUGGAGAGAUUGAAAAAACCUUGCUGGGUCAUGUGAAUGGUGUGAAAUGGAAUAGAAAGAAAAUUCUUGUGCUUGCACAGAGUGGAAGCGAAUGUGAUCGGGGGGUCACCGUCAAGAGAGUGCUUCCUUGGCUCGUUACCAAAGGAAAAUGGCUCACAAGUAGCUGGAUUUUUUUAUGUGAAGAUGCAUCAGUGCAUUUUAGGACUCGACGAGUUGUGUGGGCUCACGGAAAAUUGGCUUCCUCGCGUCGAUGUGCUGCUUGCUUUCUUCUUUGUAUUUGUUCAAGGUGAAGGUUGGGUGACUGAUAUGAUUGGGUCACUAGUAUACUACUCUUGCAGUCACAAGUUCGUAGAUGUGUGUUCUGUGAGCUAAAAGGAUCUAUUUCUAGCAUCUAAAGAAGUUAUGGACAUUUUAGUAUCUAUCUGAUGAAGUAGCACUCUAGGAUGGAUCAGUUUCUUACUGAGACAUGAUGGUAUAUAUCUAGUGAUGUAAUACUGGACAUAUGAACCUACAAAUGUAUGCCUAUGUAUAUAUCUAGACACGAUGGAUUGUUGUCCUUUUGGAUGUGAUGUAGUACUGGACUUGUGAACCUACAAAGUGUAUACCAAUGUAUGUAUGCAGACAUGAUGUAUUGUUGAGAUAUAUAUUAUGUCUCAGUUGAUGUGACUUUAA